GACGAACGCUGGCGGCGUGCUUAACACAUGCAAGUCGAACGAUGAAGAAGAGCUUGCUCUUCGGAUUAGUGGCGAACGGGUGAGUAACACGUGACUAACCUGCCCCUUUCUCUGGGAUAACGCUCCGAAAGGAGUGCUAAUACCGGAUACUCACAUCGAGGCACAUGCCUUGAUGUGGAAAGUUUUUCGGAAAGGGAUGGAGUCGCGGCCUAUCAGCUUGUUGGUGAGGUAACGGCUCACCAAGGCGACGACGGGUAGCCGGCCUGAGAGGGCGACCGGCCACACUGGGACUGAGACACGGCCCAGACUCCUACGGGAGGCAGUAGUGGGGAAUAUUGCACAAUGGGCGAAAGCCUGAUGCAGCGAUGCCGCGUGAGGGAUGAAGGUCUUCGGAUUGUAAACCUCUUUCAGUAGGGACGAAGCGAAAGUGACGGUACCUAAAGAAGAAGCACCGGCUAACUACGUGCCAGCCGCCGCCGUAA
rnacentral:rRNA from 1 species